AUUGAACGCUGGCGGCAGGCCUAACACAUGCAAGUCGAGCGAGCGGCGGACGGGUGAGUAAUGUCUGGGAAACUGCCCGAUGGAGGGGGAUAACUCCUGGAAACGGUAGCUAAUACCGCAUACCAUCUGAUAUGCCACGAGGGGAUUAGCUAGUAGGUGGGGUAAUGGCUCACCUAGGCGACGAUCCCUCGCUGGUCUGUGCGGAUGACCAGCCACACUGGACAUGAGACACGGUCCAGACUCCUAAGGGAGGCAGCAGUGGGGAAGAUUGCACAAUGGGCGCAAGCCUGAUGCAGCCAUGCCGCGUGUAUGAAGAAGGCCUUCGGGUUGUAAAGUACUUUCAGCGGGGAGGCGUUACCCGCAGAAGAAGCACCGGCUAACUCCGUGCCAGCAGCCGCGGUAAUUC
rnacentral:rRNA from 1 species